rnacentral:tRNA from 1 species
GCCGGAUUAGCUCAGCUGGUAGAGCGGCUGAUUUGUAAUCAGCAGGUCGGCGGUUCGAGCCCGUCAUCCGGCACCA